AGAUACUGUCAUGGCAGAGGAACAAUUUGAAGACCAUCUCGCUGAGCAAGCUGAAUGUGAAUAAUAGCAUGUCUAGAUGAAAGGUGCUAACAUUUGAAGGCUCCUCUCCACACAGCAGGGACAGUGCGCUGGGCCGAGGUCUGAAUGAUAAUCAGCAUCAAACCGAACGGGGAAGAGCUGCACGUUUCUCCAUCCCUGGUGCCCAGACCCUCGGACCUCAGCGCCCUGCACCAGACGAGGGCGGUGGGGGUUAGAGAGGUGUGAGUGAGCGGGGGGCCCCUGGAGGUCCCCCAGGCUACCGGGCCGAACCCUGCGCGGGACCCCCGUGGCCCUCUCUUCCCCUUUCAGGUGACUUGAUGGAAAUCGUGUCAGGAGCUGGAUUCAAACUCGCAUUGUUUGCUGUAAAAUUGACCAGAGCGUGUGUAUUAUCCACAAGGCCACGGCUAUGAAAAGUCUCUACUGUUCACAAGUCGCUGUGUUUGAGCUGUCACUACUGUUGGAUCUCACUUUGUUGAGCAGGGGAGGGAGGAGGGAAAACAUAAAAUUAAAAAUUAAACUCAUGCCUUACUGACAGGCGGACAGAAGCAUAUUUAUUUAUAAGCAGUUUAAACAUCUUCUGGAAGUGUGUGUGCAUGUGCUGGAGCCGGAGACAGAAUUAAAGGUCCUCGUGUGCAGAAAACUUCAGCUGAGCCUGAGGCGUCCGUCCAGCGAUGUUCCUCAGAGACAAAUGAGGAGGAUGGAGCCCUCUUUGGCGUGCAUCACCUGCCGGAAAACGUGGUCCAGGAUGAGGAGUUCACUCCAACAGUUCUGGAGAAGCUUCAUUUGGUCGUCAACCUGAGGAGAGACCAACAAAUGUGCAUUCUCAUCAAAGGCCUUGUCCCCUACAUGAGCCUCUUAUGCCCAGCGCAUUUGGGUCAUCAAACAGGGACGAGGCUGCCACGAGUCAAAGCAGGGGAAGACACAGCAGACCGGGGCCGCUGCCAGACACACGUCAGAUGGGCAGAGAAGGCAUCUCUGACCUUUUAAAGUGCGUCUGACACCGCUGUUUCCAUGUCAGCUCGCUUCCCUUUGCACUGUCACAGCUGUGUGUAACGGCUCUGAUGUGCACUUACAACAGGCAAGCUAUGUCCUUUAACAGUGGAGGUAGUGACUUUGUAUAUAAUGGCUAUCAAAUGUUACAAUUUUUCUGUGUACAUCAUUCGUGAAAACAUUUCUACUAUUUUUAAUUACUAUUUUUUUUUUAAAUCCAAUGUUGAUUUGAAUUUAAUUAAGAAUUGAUUUUUACUAACAAUUUAAAUUUUUUACUAUUCUUAAAACAAAUCUUGAACGCAACAAUUUAAGAGAGAAUGUUUUUACGUACAAUUUAUAUGGAAAGUAGAGCCUUUAUUGUUACAAUAUACAAAACCUACCAAAUACGUAUGAAUGUUUGCGUUCAUUGCGCCGCAUUAAUGAAACAUGAGCAGAAUGAAUUUAUUUCUAAAUUGUUUGUAAAACAACUUUUUUUAUUUUAUAGUUAUUAAUACAAUUUUCUAAAUUAAUUUGACAAUUUACGGAAAUUUUUUUUUUACGAAGUUUACACAGAAAAUAAUGGCACCUUCGUUGUUACAAUAUCAAAUAUGUAUGAAAGUUUGCAUUAAUGGACCUCAUUUUGUGUAAAAUGUUUGUAAAACUACUUUUAAUAUUUUUAAGUAAUAUUGAAACUAUUUCUGAAUUGAAUUCGUCAGUUUAUAAAGGAGUGGUUUUGCGAACAACACGUAUCAAAUACGUACGACAUAUUAGCUUUAUUAUUCGUUAAACAAUGCAUUUUGUUUUUAUUUUACAACCAGCUUACACAAAAAUACAUUCUACUCAAGUUUAAUGAAUGAGGCCUACUGUGUUUUAAAAUCUCAAUAUGUAUACCACCAAAUACACCAGCAACACAGAACGAAAUAUGCCGUACUUUAAUGUUUCACACUGUCGUACAGCUUUUGUGAUUAGUAUUUUUAUUUCACCAUGGAUCAUGGGAAUAAACUCAAUACUCACGGCAAACUCAAAGAUUGUAAAUUCAGCUGUAUAAUCAUUACAUGCUAAAAAUAAGAUUGCAGUCUGGUGUUAAUGUUUAUCUAGAUGAGCAGGUCGUGUAAGGUGCUGGAAAAAUAUCUGGAGGUCAGCCAAAUAAAAACACACUUAUUGAUUUCACUCUAGAGGCAUUAAAUUAGGAAUCUCAGACAGCUUUUGUUUGACUGACUAAGAAGCCAUAAACAUCAAAUCUGUUGACCUACACUGAAAUCUCACAAUUCACAAAUUCUUUUUACAUACUUCAGAUACAAAAGGUGUGCUCAUCUAAAACAGCUAAAACUCAGAUUUUUUGAUGUGAUGCACUUCCAAUGUUUCAAAAUCAGAGCUUUUACAUUCUCUCUUAUGAUAAAAAAUGCAUAUCCUCCAAGAAACCAAUUUAAUUCCUUUACGGUCAUUCAGGCAUAGCUAGAUCAAUGUAGCGAUCAAUUGCUGAAACCCCCGUACUGCUCCUAAAGAAGACCCUUAGACCCUCAACGGCAUGUUGAACGGCAUUAUGGAAAUUUCCAAAUGAAUGUACCGUGACUAUGUGCAAAGAACUACAGCCUAUUUUUCCCUCAUUUUUAAUGUAAAUGAUGUGCAAAUAUGUCUUGUUGCAUAUC